AUUUAUAUAUUUAUACCAUAUAUGAUAUAUGCUAAGAAAAUGUAAAGUCAAGAGUUGACUUUAAAACGUGAAAAAUAUGAGAUGUGAACAUACAAAAUUUAAGGAAAAAAUAAUCGGCAAAUUGCAGUAAAUAAUAAAUUGAAUAUACAUGAACGAUCUACCGUCCAAAAGUAUGAGUAAUUACCACUAAACUUCAUCAUGCACUGAUGAAUAUUUGUGUCUUAGUUAUCCAACAUCACUUUAUUUACUUUCUUCUAAAUAUUUGCAAGUAGUAUAUUUUGUAACUGUUUAUGAGUUAAUCUUGUACCAAAACAGCAAAAACGAGCAGGACAUAGCGUUUCUUCAUCAUCUGGGAAUAAGGUUUGUUUUAGUUCCUGGAACUCAAGAGCAAAUCGACCAGCUUCUGUCUGAGAGAGGUGAUGCUUGAGGCCAAACUAUGUCCAGGACCUUCUAUUUGCAAUAUCCGUAGGCAGGGUGAUCGUAGUCGUUUUCUCCACUCUUUUUAUACAAGUCACUGAAGACGGAUUAUUUCCCAUUCCAAGUAGAAAGAGAUUCAUCACCUGCUUCAGUCCUAAUUCUUGAGAAAUUCAGCCUCUUUAUGUAUUUCCAUUGCUGAGACUCUAACCUUGUGUAGCCUUGAGCUCUGUUUCUGCAAUCACAAGCUCUGGUUUCUCCUUCUUCGUCCUUUUUUGACAAGCUUUUCUCAUCUCCAUUGUUGUUGUUUAAAGAAAGAAAUAUCCAAAGGGAAAUAAGCUUAGUGCUAAUUAAGAAAAAAGGAAAUUUUGAAUCCAAAAAAAAAAAA